rnacentral:lncRNA from 1 species
UGAGAAGAGGUCCUUAAGUUUAACUAGACUACUGAAGUGGUCUAUGACCAACUAAGAUAAGUUAAGAAUAUACACUUAUACAUUUCUUGUGUAUGAGAAGGAAGUAGUGAUUAUAAAUUAUAGAAAGCUAUAAAAUUUAAUGAGUGUUUAGCAAAGCAAAAACACAUGGGUCAAAUCAUGGAGAAGGGAAGACUGAUAUUGGAGAAGAAAUAAUGGAAAAAAAGGCAUGGUGGAUGAUUCAAAGUCAUUGAGGAGUAGAGAGUUCUCCUGACUCACGCUUCAACAUUCCAUCCACUAUAGUACCUAACAAAAAGGAAAGAGUACUGGGCUUCAAAAUAAAGACCCAAAUUCAAAUUUGGAAUCAGAAGCUUCAAAAGGAAGUCCAAAAACAUCCUAUUGGUAUGGUGUGUGUCUGGACUCACAGGUAUAUGCACAGGUGCUGCAUCCAGGAACAGCACAGAUCACAGAGGGCCUGAGGUUUUCUGGAGAGCACAAGCUAGGAUCAUAAUAGCAUAAACAGUACUCUGGAGAGCCCAAAUCUUCAUGGCUGUCAGCAGACACACUGUCACCAUCACAAAACCCAG